GAAGCAGCACUGAUGCUUCCAUAACUAUUCCAAGUUGGUCCAGCUGAUGACAGAGCCAAUCUUUGAGAUCAAAAGGUCCUAUUGGUCCGUGUUUCACCUCUUGUAACAGAAAUCUCUGCUGAUUUGACAAAUGGCCAAGAAAGAUCAGAAAGACGGUACAUGCAGAGUCGAAGCUGUUCUUCACCUUAUCAAAAAAUAAUCACCACUCACUCUCAAAAAGGAGAAGUUCUGCAACUAUGCUUGUGUAGAACGGUUUCUCAAAGCAAAUAAAGAUGAUGUCAAGAAAGCUGCCAAGAAACUCAGGGCUUGCCUCUCUUGGAGACACACUAUUGACUAUAGGCAUUGAGCAUCUGAUGGCGGAUGAGUUCGCGGCUGAAAUCGCCGAUGGCGUAUGUGGCUGGUCACGACGAGAGACGGGAGACCAGAGACGAGAGACGAGAGAGAAUUAACGUGUGAUAACAGUAGGGUAAUUUUGGCAGGUGCGAGAGUCUGACAAAUAAUUAAAACUUUAACAGUAAAAUUGAAUUAUAGAAGCGCUCUCCUUCCGCUUAUGAUAAAACGCCAUUUUUGCCUUAAUAAUCAAUUGUCAUCAUUUGAAGUUGUUUGGGUAAAUCCUAUUCAAUGAUCGAUUAAUUGAUGAA